rnacentral:SRP_RNA from 1 species
GGCCAGGCCCUGCGCAACCAAGGACUGUGAACCCCGCCAGGUCCGGAAGGAAGCAACGGUAAGCAGACACCCGGUGUGCCGCAGGUUAACUUGGCCUCA